rnacentral:rRNA from 1 species
UACGGGGGGGGCAAGCGUUGCUCGGUAUCACUGGGCUUAAAGGGCGCGUAGGCGGUGCGGUACGGUUUCGGUGAAAUCCCUCGGCCCAACCGAGGAACAGCCGGGGCUACGGCCGUGCUAGACGGCAUCAGGGGACAGUGGAACUUCCGGUGGAGCGGUGAAAUGCGUAGAUAUCGGAAGGAACGCCGGUGGCGAAAGCGACUGUCUGGGGUGCCUGUGACGCUGAGGCGCGAAAGCGUGGGGAGCAAACGGG